GUUUUUAUAGUUUAAAAAAAACAUUGGUUUUGUAAACCAAAAUUAAUAAGAUUUAAAAAC
rnacentral:tRNA from 1 species